AUUGAACGCUGGCGGCAGGCUUAACACAUGCAAGUCGAGCGGGGAAAGGUAGCUUGCUACCUGACCUAGCGGCGGACGGGUGAGUAAUGCUUAGGAAUCUGCCUAUUAGUGGGGGACAACAUUCCGAAAGGAAUGCUAAUACCGCAUACGCCCUAAAGGGGAAAGCAGGGGAUCUUCGGACCUUGCGCUAAUAGAUGAGCCUAAGUCAGAUUAGCUAGUUGGUGGGGUAAAGGCCUACCAAGGCGACGAUCUGUAGCGGGUCUGAGAGGAUGAUCCGCCACACUGGGGCUGAGACACGGCCCAGACUCCUACGGGAGGCAGCAGUGGGGAAUAUUGGACAAUGGGCGCAAGCCUGAUCCAGCCAUGCCGCGUGUGUGAAGAAGGCCUUUUGGUUGUAAAGCACUUUAAGCGAGGAGGAGGCUACUUGGAUUAAUACUCUAGGAUAGUGGACGUUACUCGCAGAAUAAGCACCGGCUAACUCUGUGCCAGCCGCCGCCGUAA
rnacentral:rRNA from 1 species